AGGAUAAUAGUUUAAGUAACAACAUUUAACUUGCACUUAAAAAAUAUUGAAUAAUCAAUUUAUCUUA
rnacentral:tRNA from 1 species